rnacentral:misc_RNA from 1 species
GAUGAAGAACGCAGCGAAAUGCGAUAAGUAAUGUGAAUUGCAGAAUUCAGUGAAUCAUCGAGUCUUUGAACGCACAUUGCGCCCCCUGGUAUUCCGGGGGGCAUGCCUGUCCGAGCGUCAUUGCUGCCCUCAAGCACGGCUUGUGUGUUGGGCCCCCGUCCCCGGUUUCCCCCGGGGACGGGCCCGAAAGGCAGCGGCGGCACCGCGUCCGGUCCUCGAGCGUAUGGGGCUUUGUCACCCGCUCUGUAGGCCCGGCCGGCGCCAGCCGACACCCAACUUUAUUUCUAAGGUUGACCUCGGAUUAGGUAGGGAUACCCGCUGAACUUAAGCAUAUCAAUAAGCGGAGGA